rnacentral:rRNA from 1 species
CAGUAGCCGCGGGAAUACGUAGGGGGCGAGCGUUGUCCGAAGUUACUGGGCGUAAAGAGCGCGUAGGCUGGUCUUUAAGUGAGUGGUGAAAGGUUCGGGCUCAACCCGGACACUGCCUUUCAUACUGGGGACCUUGAGUGUGGGAGAGGCGAGUGGAAUGGUCGGUGUAGCGGUGAAAUGCGUAGAUAUCGAUCGGAACACCCAUGGCGAAGGCAGCUCGCUGGCCUAACACUGACGCUGAGGCGCGAAAGCGUGGGGAGCAAACAGGAUUAGAUACCCGCGUAGUCCCUGUCUCUUAUAC